rnacentral:rRNA from 1 species
GACAGAGGAUGCAAGCGUUAUCCGGAAUGAUUGGGCGUAAAGCGUCUGUAGGUGGUUCAAAAAGUCUACUGUCAAAUACGUUGGCUCAACCAACGGCAGGCAUUAGAGUACUAUUGAACUAGAGUGUGGUAGAGGUAGAGGGAAUCCCUAGCGUAACAGUGAAAUGUGUAGAUUUUAGGGAGAACACCAGCGGCGAAGGCGCUCUACUGGGCCAUUACUGACACUGAGAGACGAAAGCUAAGGGAGCGAAAGGG